GUCCCUCUCUCAAGGUCAUAAUCAUAUGUGGGAAUCAGAGAAAAAACGUUGUUAGCAAUUUGAAUUUAAACCAUAAAACAAUCUUCAUUCAUAGAAAUCUGCUAGUGGUACCAUGUUUCAAAGGAUGAGUAGAAAAACCUCAAAUCACCAUUGACCAAGAUCAGAACUUUUUGUCCACUACCUAUCUUAAUUUGCAUCUUAUAUAAUAGUAUAUCUAAAUAUCACAUUAAAAGGUCUAAUUAAGUAAAUGGAAAAUGGAUAAGAAACCAAAUUCAAAUGCAAUGAGCAAUGAACCAUGAGGUGACAAUAAAGCUUUCCAAU
rnacentral:misc_RNA from 1 species